rnacentral:rRNA from 1 species
CGGUGUUCAACUGGCGUGUCCGCGGGACGUCCUGCCGGUGGGCUUAGCCCGCAAGGGCGGCCCAACUUCAAAUCCCAUCGCGGUGCUCUUCACUGAGUGUCGAGGUGGGCCGGCACGUUUACUUUGAACAAAUUAGAGUGCUUAAAGCAGGCUAAAACUUCGCCUGAAUACUGUGUGCAUGGAAUAAUGGAAUAGGACCUCGGUUCUAUUUUGUUGGUUUUCGGAACCCCGAGGUAAUGAUUAAUAGGAACGGAUGGGGGCAUUCGUAUUGCGACGUUAGAGGUGAAAUUCUUGGAUCGUCGCAAGACGGACAGAAGCGAAAGCAUUUGCCAAAAACGCUUUCAUUGAUCAAGAACGAAAGUUAGAGGUUCGAAGGCGAUCAGAUACCGCCCUAGUUCUAACCAUAAACGAUGCCAGCUAGCGAUCCGUCGACGUUCCUCCGAUGACUCGACGGGCAGCUUCCGGGAAACCAAAGCUUUUGGGUUCCGGGGGAAGUAUGGUCGCAAAGCUGAAACUUAAAGGAAUUGACGGAAGGGCACCACCAGGAGUGGAGCCUGCGGCUUAAUUUGACUCAACACGGGAAACCUCACCAGGCCCGGACACCGGAAGGAUUGACAGAUUGAGAGCUCUUUCUUGAUUCGGUGGGUGGUGGUGCAUGGCCGUUCUUAGUUGGUGGAGCGAUUUGUCUGGUUAAUUCCGAUAACGAACGAGACUCUAGCCUGCUAACUAGGCGUAUUUUCGACAUCUCAAAGGUCCGUCGUCCCGGCCCUCGGGUCGUGGGCGUGCGCGAUUUUUACUGUCGGCGUACUAUCAAUUCUUCUUAGAGGGACAGGUGGCUUCUAGCCGCACGAGAUUGAGCAAUAACAGGUCUGUGAUG